GGUGGCUCAGUGGUAGAGUGCUUGCUUUGCAUGCAUAAGGCCCUGGGUUCGAUUCCUCAGCACCA
rnacentral:tRNA from 1 species